rnacentral:lncRNA from 10 species
GGUCAAGUCAGGGGUGGAGACAAUGCGGGCCCCUCCCCCGCUGAUUCAGCGCCUCUCCUAAUGAGGUGAGGCCUCAGGUUUAGGAAGGGUUGCCACACCCACUGGUAGGGGGAGGGUCUGUGAUUCUGUAACUGGAGGAUAGGUAGGGGGCUUCGGUUGUAGACUGAGUAGGGAGCUGACCUAAGCCGGUAGAUUCAAGUACUGCCCGAGAGAUCUCUGCCUUUCCGCCCCACACCCCAGUCACCCCGCGCCAGGCUCUCGGCGCGUCAGAUCCCGGCCCUGCGUUCUUCAUCUCCUGCCCCGCCACGCCCCCAACUGCAGAUCCAACUCGGGUCUCUCCGAAAGCAGCAAGGAGCCUCGGGGUGGGCUCUAUGCCCCGUGAUGCUCCGCGUCUGGGAACGGAUGAAGGGGUGCCAGCAACCCCCGCCGUCCCCGCUGUCGAUCCGGGUUUACACGAGGCUCAUCCGGGAUUAGUCCCUGCGGUCGGCUAAUCCCAGCGGCUGGACCGACCCCGGGGUCCGGAGCGAGGCCCACACAGUACCGGCCUAGGGAGCUAGGGCGCGGGUCGAGCAAAAGCGCGCGACGCUGGGCGGGUGUGGGGGUGGGGAGGGGCGGAGGAGGGAGCAACGCCCCGGGAGGCGGGGCCAGGAACCGGCUGAUCCGGUCUCUGUUUUCCGACCUCUCCGGAGCGGGUGUUUACCCGGGAGCCGGACGGAGGAGGCCGGGGCCGGUCGAGCCCGGAAGGGGGGAGGGGAGCGCAGUCGGAGACCGAGGCUGAGACCUUUUCGGUUCCUUUCCCCUAAAUCGACUUCCAACCCUCGUUCCUGAGCGUGGGAGAACGCGGCAGACAGACAGAUGUCUCCCGCCCCUUAUCCUAUCCAGUUCCGCAAUUCACACUCGUUGCCAAAGAGUGGGGAGCGGGAAUGGAUACACCCGGGAACGACUGCACGUCCUGCGGGCGCCCGGGGAAGAAGGCAGCGCAGCACAAAACCUCUCCUGCGGUCACCUCCCACCCCAUCCUGCACCUGAGUUCUUGCGGGGAGGGGGUGCCCACAGCAGGUCGGGCCCAGAGGAUCCGGCAGGGGUCACUUUGAGGUGUACGGACUAGGAGUCUAUCCUCAGAACGCGUCAGCUCGACCCCAUCCCCGAUUAAUACCAGUGCGGGUCUCAGUCUCUUGUCCCUCGCGUCCCCCAGCCCUCUCCAAGGCCUCCAGAUUUAGCUCCCACUCUCCACGGGACGCAGGCCCGAGGACCCGGAAGAAGCUGAGUGGGGUCCGGUUUUCACACUUUUAUUGUAAAGCUCGGGAAUAAUUACACGGGUCUUUCAUUGACAGCUCAGCAAACAAACCGGAAACGAACCGAACCGGAGGGGGUAGGGGCGGUGCCUGCGCAUGCUCGCGGCGGGGUGGGGGGGGGUGGGGGUGGGGGUGGGGGGGUCAGAGAAAGAGAAAGACAGAAAGAGACAGAAAUCAUUACAAAUCAACGGGAUUGUGCUCGCAGUGGGAAGUGGCACGAACCAAGAGAAACACGACCCCAAUGUGGGCACCCGACGCGCCCAAAACCCCCCACCCCGACCCCCACCCCCCUACACACGAGAGAGACACGGCCCCCCUCCCCACUAGAUAACCCGAGGAGACACAGUCUCCCCUCCCCAUGGGCAGACACACCCGCCCGAAACCCCAUGGGCGGGACACAGUCCCCCCUCCCAGAGAAGUCCCCAGUGGAGACGCCCCUUAAGAGACUUUCUCAUGGCCAACACAAGCCCUCCCAACACCCGGAGACAGCCCCGACCCAGGGAAGAAAUGGCUCCAGAGGCCCUACCCUCGGGAGAGAGAGGUAUCCCAGGGCUCCUAGGAGAAAAGACAACUCAGAGAUGCCCAGCCUCAUCCUAAAGUGCUGCAGGGCAGAGAAACCCCCAUAGGAGAGAUGGGGGUAGGGCCAGAAACAUCCCUUCCCAGACGUGUUUCAGAGAUAGCCCCCUUCCCUGGGAAGAGAGAUGGCCCGAAACUGACUUGCCUUAAGUACUCCCAGGAACCCUGGGAGGAAAACAGGCUCCCCAGAGAGCCUGGGUAAUUGGGGGAGACAUGCUCCCGUGGUCCUCAGCGGGAACACAUGUCCCCCGGAGACUCCCAAGGGGAGAGAUAGGGCCUAGAGAGACCCCAGAGGUGAGGGAUGCCCAGAGAACUUCCCCCCACCCCGGAAUGUGAAACAUGCUUCAAGGACCCUAGGAGAGAAAUAUGUCCCCAUAUACCCUCCCCCUACGGAGAGACAUGCCCUGAAGUAGGGGGAUGGGGACCGACUAGGUCCCCUCUGGGAAGACACAGACUGGGUCAGGCUGGGUUUGAGGGGGGCUCUCCUCUGGCCAAAUGUCGCCUAUUGGUACAUAAAACUGUACGCGACACAGGCAUUGGGGAGGGGCUUCACAGACCUAGGACCCACAGGGAUAGUCCCCAGUGCUGUCGCCAACCCCUGCCCACCUUUGGUUUCAUCUCUCCAGUGCCCAGUUGGUGACAGACUCAGUGCCCUGGCCCCAACCAGGGGGCUGGGGGCUCUGUCUUUGCCUGUGGGAAGGGCUUCUCAGCUCUCCCAGCCAUCUGGGCCACCCUCUUUCUUCUGGCUUCUCCAUUGUGCAAAAUGCUCCUCUGCUCUUCUGCUCAGUGCUCAGGGGUCUCUAAGACCAGGGCAAGGUACCCAGGCCACUAGGGGCUUCCAGUGGGAGUCCACUGACCCCAGGAAUGCCGCCUGUCUGGACCACCUUCUCCACCAAGCAAAUGGGCCUCAUACAAUCUUCUUGCCCGAAUCCUGACCUCCAGGACCCAGGACAAUCCUUGAGGCCACUGUUCCACCAGCUGGGCACCCAAUACUACCAACUCCAAGACUAUUGCACCUGCCCCAUUUGUGCAGGGGAAAGGGGCUGUCUCUUUAACAAGCCCCAAGCCCAUCUCCUGGGCCUCCCCAAGGGAAAGGAGCCUUUGGCCAACCCCUAGACCUGGCUGCUGCCACCCCAUCCCAUUCUACCCCUUCCCCUCUGUAGAAGGGCUUCGUAUGCCAGGGCUACCAGCCUAACAAUGCUCUCCUUCCUAGCACUGUCACCCCAAGCCAAGUUGGGGGUAAGGGGCAGAUAAAUAGGGUGAUUCUUCAGGCCCCUGGCUUUUCCGGGGUGGGGGUGGGGUCUCUGGGGUACAAGAGUCAAGACCCCAGCAGCACAGCUCCCAAAGGCACCAGACGACCCCGCAGCCUGUACCCACCGCUCGCAAUCUUGGACCACCUCCCCAAGCUUAGACUAAGUCAAGCAAGGGCCAUACCCUGAGUCUCCAGCCUCCCAGCCUGGGCCCCUAGGGAGCUGGAGAGGUAUGGGCCAAGGCAGUGGGGGUUUCUGGAAGGAAGAGGGGCUGAGGCUUUGAGAUGGCCACAGUGGGAGACGGGGGCUCUGCAGGACGCCCCUUACACCCUGGCCCCCUGAGGUGAAGAAGAGAACUUCACCUCAUCAUGGCUGACUGGGCUUCUCUGCCCCCCAACCUCCCUACCCCCUCCCCCAUGGGACCCCUGACCCUGACAAAGGGAAGCCCAACUGGAAGAAGGGGGCCUGGAGCCCAGGGUGCCCUGAGGCAGCCCUCCCACCCCCUGAGAUCAAGGCAAUGGUGGUUUUACAGGCUGACGGGUCAGUCAUGGCAGGGGCUGGGGGUUGAGAGGGCAGGGAGGGGGCAGGAUGCAGGCCCCCUAUAUCGGGAGCAGCACCCAGCCACCCCCUGAGCAAACCUUCCUGCUCCCAACUCACCCAACCAGGCCAGAGGCACAGUCAUCCCACCCCUGUCCAGCUGCCCCCCACAGCCUCAGGGCCCCUCUGUGAUGCUCAUCUGGAUGUGGGAGGCCAGCCUGAGCGGGGAUCCCCCCAGGGCACAGCGCAACAGUUCCAAAAAAAUAGAGAUUUGUAUUUUUAAGAAAAAUUAAAUAAAAGCCCAGCUCUGCUGAUAGGCAAAUGUUACCCCCGUCCCCACCCCCACCCACCCGUUGUUUCCCUGGCCUGCACCCCCAUCCCACCAUGGCCCCAGGGGUAUUUACAACAUGGAACAAUAGAGGCCUGGGUUGGGGGGCACUGCGGCAGGGAGGAGGGGGCACAGGGCAGGUCCCCCCCCAGAGGGGUCCCCCAAGACAACACGACAUCAACAAGAAAAGUUGCAAAUCAGGCAGAAAUGGGGACGUCAUUCCAAGGUCCUUAUAUACAGACACUGCAUGACCAGCAGGGAAUGGGGGCCCAGAUGGGACUAGGCGUGGGCAUGUGGCAGGCAGGUGGGCCAGUCCAGGAGCAGCACGGGAAAACAAGGGAAGGAGCCCAGUCAUUGCAGAGGAGCCCUCUUGGGCAUCAGAUGGGGGAAGCCCCAUAAAG